UACGUAGGGUGCGAGCGUUAAUCGGAAUUACUGGGCGUAAAGCGUGCGUAGGCGGUUCGCUGUGUCCGAUGUGAAAGCCCCGGGCUUAACCUGGGAAUGGCAUUGGAAACUGGCGGGCUUGAGUGUGGCAGAGGGGGGUGGAAUUCCGCGUGUAGCAGUGAAAUGCGUAGAGAUGCGGAGGAACACCGAUGGCGAAGGCAGCCCCCUGGGCCAACACUGACGCUCAGGCACGAAAGCGUGGGGAGCAAACAGG
rnacentral:rRNA from 1 species